rnacentral:rRNA from 1 species
AGAGUUUGAUCCUGGCUCAGGAUGAACGCUGGCGGCGUGCCUAAUACAUGCAAGUCGAGCGGUAACACUUCGGGUGACGAGCGGCGGACGGCUGAGUAACACGUAGGAACGUACCCCAAAGUGAGGGAUAAGCACCGGAAACGGUGUCUAAUACCGCAUGUGGUCUUCGGAUUAAAGCUUCGGCGCUUUGGGAACGGCCUGCGCAUGAUUAGCUUGUUGGUGAGGUAAAAGCUCACCAAGGCGACGAUCAUUAGCUGGUCUGAGAGGAUGAUCAGCCAGACUGGGACUGAGACACGGCCCAGACUCCUACGGGAGGCAGCAGUUGGGAAUCUUGGACAAUGGGGGAAACCCUGAUCCAGCCAUGCCGCGUGAGUGAUGAAGGCCUUCGGGUUGUAAAACUCUUUCGCGCACGACGAUAAUGACGGUAGUGCGAGAAGAAGCUCCGGCUAACUUCGUGCCAGCAGCCGCGGUAAUAC